rnacentral:rRNA from 1 species
GAUGAACGCUGGCGGCGUGCCUAAUACAUGCAAGUCGAGCGAACAGACGAGGAGCUUGCUCCUCUGACGUUAGCGGCGGACGGGUGAGUAACACGUGGAUAACCUACCUAUAAGACUGGGAUAACUUCGGGAAACCGGAGCUAAUACCGGAUAAUAUAUUGAAUCGCAUGGUUCAAUAGUGAAAGACGGUUUUGCUGUCACUUAUAGAUGGAUCCGCGCCGCAUUAGCUAGUUGGUAUGGUAACGGCUUACCAAGGCAACGAUGCGUAGCCGACCUGAGAGGGUGAUCGGCCACACUGGAACUGAGACACGGUCCAGACUCCUACGGGAGGCAGCAGUAGGGAAUCUUCCGCAAUGGGCGAAAGCCUGACGGAGCAACGCCGCGUGAGUGAUGAAGGUCUUCGGAUCGUAAAACUCUGUUAUUAGGGAAGAACAAAUGUGUAAGUAACUAUGCACGUCUUGACGGUACCUAAUCAGAAAGCCACGGCUAACUACGUG